ACAAAAAUCGUAUAUGUAAAGAAAUUAUGAUAAAAAGACACACCAAAUAAAUACAACUGAAUAGACACUAAUAUGAAAGCAAAUAACUUUUGAUUAAAAGCGGUUGUGCACAAAGAGAUAUGAUAAACUAUCGAAAUGACACAACUGUAGAUAACUAGAUAUUCACAACACUUUGAAGUACACGUAUAACAAAUUUAUCAUAUUUUUUUGAAUAUUUAAAUAUUUUUUGAAUAAUAUUUACUUAUUAUCUGUGUGCCGUGGAAGUAUGAUUAGUUUUUUUGGUGUUAGGAUAAAAAAAAAAGCUUCUUCAUGUUUCUUUAAAAAUCUUUGAUGAUAUUUUAACAAUGAAUCUCUCAUUUUUCUAAUUUAAUUGUGAUUGUUGUGAUUUGUCAAUGCAUACAACUCUUUAUAUAGAGGAUUAAAGGUAGCAAUGGUUGUUAGUUAAUACCAAAAGUUGGGAUGAUUUAUACCAAAAUCUACAAUCACCAAUUGCAAGACAACUUUUUAAUACAAUUUUUAGGAUGAAAAAACACAAUCAAAUGAAGAGAUACAAUUUUUAAAUUUUUAAAAAGAGAUUUUUUAGAUAUUUAAACUAAUUUAAAACUAAUUAAAAGAUACAACUAUUAAAAAUAUAUUUUAGAGAUGUUUUUGGAAAGAAACAUAUACAAUCAAAUGAAGAGAUACAAUUUUGAAAUUUUUUAAAAGAGAUUUUUUAGAUAUUUUAACUAAUUUAAAACUAAUUAUAAAGAUACAACUGUUAAAAAUAUAUUUUUAGAAAUGAUGUUGGAAAGACACAUAUAUAAUUUGACAAUUUAUUUUUAAUCAGUGCAACUUUUGAGAUGAAACAACGUAACUUUUGAAAUUAACUGUCGAAAAGACAUAUAUAUAAUUUGACAAAAAUUUUUAACUAAUGCAACUUUUAAGAUGAAAAGACAUAUCUCUUAAACAUUAAUUGAGAUUACUAUUAAUUGAGAUUACUAUUAUUAAUAGAUCGAUUAAAAUCCCAGAAAUUUUUAAACUGGAAAUUAUAAAUAUUAAUUAAAAUGGAGGGAAUUUUGAGCCUAUAAAAUUAUAGAUGUUGUUCUAUUAAAAGACUAUUAUCAUUACGAAUCUAAAACAACUCAAUCAAUAGAAAAAUAUCAAGUAAACAAAAUAUCAUGAAACAAGACAAAGAGGUGGUCAUUUUAUAUUUAUAUAUAUAUAGAGAGAGAGAGAGAGCUUCCCCUAAACACAAAAAAAAAAAAAAAAAAGCAAAUUGAGAAGACAAAUGGAGAAAAAAUUGAGUGUGGCGAUGAUGGUGUUUGUCUUGGUGGUGAUGGCGUCCACUGCAGGAGAAGCAAGCUAUAUUUCAUGUACAUUCAAAUGUGAGGUUCUCUGUGACGAUCAGGACUACAAAGCCGAAUGCAUCAGCAAAUGUAUGGCCGACUGCAAAGAUACACCACCUCCACCCUUCACUCAACUAAACCAUACUCGCAGAUGAGCACUGGAGAGAUGGAAGAAAUGAUAGGAUGAAGAGACUUUUAGAAUGUCAUGCAUGAUGGUUUUUUUAUCUUUUCUUUUCUGUCCAAUCUAAACAAAAAUAUAAAAUAAUAAUAUAAUAAUACUCUUUCCGUUUCAUUUUAAUUGUCGUUCUAGAUUUAUGCACACAGAUUAAGAAAACAUAUGAUUUUGUAUAUUUCCAAAACAAAAACAGAAUUACCUAUACACCAAUAGAAAAAUAAAGUGGAGAAUCUUAUUAAUAUUUUUUACAUUGAAACUCUAAAACGAUACUUAUUUUGAAACGAAUUUUUUUCCAAGAACGACAAGUAAAUCGAAACGGAGGGAAUAGGAUUUAACAAGGUAUUUGGGAGAACAUAUACAAUGCAUCUAUUGGUAUACAAAACUAAUUAUUUGUUGGAAAGGGUGCAUGGUCAAUGACCAUAAUUUGGUCAAAAAUGAAUAGAAUAAAAUAGAGAAUAUACCUGGUUUUUCAGAAAAAGAAAGGAAUAUACCCAUUUCAUAAUAUUCUAGGACAAAAACUGCCUUUUUGUUAGAGGUAAAUUAGGACACAAAUUUUCUAGAGUCCAAAGUCAAAUUUCAACACUUCACGUAUUAAUGAUAGCUUGGCAUAUAAAAAACUCACAUUGCUUACAUGUAGCUCAACCGAAACAAGACAAAGAGGUGGUCAUUUCAUCUUUAUAUAUAGAGAGCUUCCUUUUUAUAUACAUAAACACAAAAAAAAAAAAAAAAAAAAAAAAAUAUUAAGAAGACAAAUGGAGAAAAAAAUGAGUUUGGCGAUGGUGGUGUUCGUUUUGGUGGUGAUGGCGGCCAUUGGAGGAGAAGCAGUAAAUCAUUUGUGUACAUUUAAAUGUGAGAUUACCUGCCGCGAUCCGGAGUUCAAAACCGAGUGCUUCAGAGCAUGUAUGGCUGACUGCGACCAUGAUAAACCUACAAGUACCUUUCACUCAACUAAAGCAUACUCGAUGAAGACUGGGGAGAUGGAAGAUAUUAGAGGAUAAAGAUGGUUAAUUUCAGUAUUUCUCAUGAUGAUUUUUUACUGUCUACAUGUAACGAAAAUCUACAAUAAUAAUAAAAAAAUCAAAUAAUAAUGAUAAAAUAUUUAACAAGGUAUUUGGGAGACACAUAUACUUAUUUCAUCUAUUUAUAUGCAAUGCAUGAAAUGAUCAAAGGUUACACACAUGAAAUGAUCAUAUAUGUGUUUCUGAUUUA